AGGAUUUUGUGUGGGAGUGUCUGAGUGUAUUGUACGUGUUUAUUGGUUGUUUUCCAAAACCCUGUGGGUGGUACUAAUGUGUAAGAAUGUGUAGAUAAGAACAAUAAACCCACAGCUCUGUCUGAAGCUGCUUGACCCUCAAAACGAAGUGUCGUCUCGUUAUUGGGGGAUUUGGAUUGUAUGCCGAUUGCCAGGAGUGUAAGCUGAUU